rnacentral:rRNA from 1 species
GUAAUUUGCAGAAGGUGCUUCGGGCGCGACGGCGGUCCAAGUUCCUUGGAAUCGGACGUCGAAGGGGUGAGAAUCCCGUAUUUGGCCGAUCGUCAAGCCCACUGCGAAGCCCUUUCGACGAGUCGAGUUGUUUGGGAAUGCAGCUCCAAGCGGGUGGUAAAUUUCAUCUAAAGCUAAAUACCUGCCAGAGACCGAUAGCGCACAAGUAGAGUGAUCGAAAGAUGAAAAGCACUUUGAAAAGAGAGUCAAACAGCACGUGAAAUUGUUGAAGGGGAAGCGCUUGCAACCAGACUCGCACGCGGGGGCUCAGCCGUUCCUCGGGACGGUGCACUCCCCCGCGAUCGGGCCAGCAUCGGUUUCGGCGGCCGGACAAAGGCCCGGGGAAAGUGGCUCCCUCGCGGGAGUGUUACAGCCCCGGGUGGAAUGCGGCCCGCCGGGACCGAGGACCGCGCUUUUGCUAGGAUGCUGGCGUAAUGGUUGCCAGCGACCCGUCUUGAAACACGGACCAAGGAGUCGACCGGCGACGCGAGUGUUCGGGCGUCAAACCCGGGCGCGCAAUGAAAGUGAACGGAGGUGGGAGCCCCCGGGCGCACCAUCGACCGAUCCUGAUGUCUUCGGAUGGAUUUGAGUACGAGCGCCGCCGGUCGGACCCGAAAGAUGGUGAGCUAUACGUGGAUAGGGUGAAGCCAGAGGAAACUCUGGUGGAGGCUCGCAGCGGUUCUGACGUGCAAAUCGAUCGUCAAAUCUGCGUAUAGGGGCGAAAGACUAAUCGAACCAUUUAUAUUGCCA